UCGAUGGAAAUGAAGAUAGUUCCACAGUUGUAAUCAAAAGACUUAGCGAGCCGAUCAGAGCACGUUUCGUCCGAUUAUUGCCAAUAGAGUGGCAUAAACACAUAUCAAUGAGAAUUGAGAUUUACGGAUGCCCAGACUGCAUCACACCUCUUGGCAUGGAAAGCGGAAAUAUCGCUGACUCAAAGAUAACUACAUCCUCGAUUUUGGAUGA